rnacentral:hammerhead_ribozyme from 1 species
AUCCAUCUGACGAGUUCAAAGUAGAACGAAACUCUUGUCCUGGAU